rnacentral:rRNA from 1 species
AGAGUUUGAUCCUGGCUCAGGAUGAACGCUAGCUACAGGCUUAACACAUGCAAGUCGAGGGGAAACGACAUCGAAAGCUUGCUUUUGAUGGGCGUCGACCGGCGCACGGGUGAGUAACGCGUAUCCAACCUGCCCACCACUUGGGGAUAACCUUGCGAAAGUAAGACUAAUACCCAAUGAUAUCUCUAGAAGACAUCUGAAAGAGAUUAAAGAUUUAUCGGUGAUGGAUGGAGAUGCGUCUGAUUAGCUUGUUGGCGGGGUAACGGCCCACCAAGGCAACGAUCAGUAGGGGUUCCGAGAGGAAGGUCCCCCACAUUGGAACUGAGACACGGUCCAAACUCCUACGGGAGGCAGCAGUGAGGAAUAUUGGUCAAUGGGCGAGAGCCUGAACCAGCCAAGUAGCGUGCAGGAAGACGGCCCUAUGGGUUGUAAACUGCUUUUAUAAGGGAAUAAAGUGAGUCUCGUGAGACUUUUUGCAUGUACCUUAUGAAUAAGGACCGGCUAAUUCCGUGCCAGCAGCCGCGGUAAUACGGAAGGUCCGGGCGUUAUCCGGAUUUAUUGGGUUUAAAGGGAGCGUAGGCCGGAGAUUAAGCGUGUUGUGAAAUGUAGACGCUCAACGUCUGCACUGCAGCGCGAACUGGUUUCCUUGAGUACGCACAAAGUGGGCGGAAUUCGUGGUGUAGCGGUGAAAUGCUUAGAUAUCACGAAGAACUCCGAUUGCGAAGGCAGCUCACUGGAGCGCAACUGACGCUGAAGCUCGAAAGUGCGGGUAUCGAACAGGAUUAGAUACCCUGGUAGUCCGCACGGUGAACGAUGGAUGCCCGCUGUUGGCCUGAAUAGGUCAGCGGCCAAGCGAAAGCAUUAAGCAUCCCACCUGGGGAGUACGCCGGCAACGGUGAAACUCAAAGGAAUUGACGGGGGCCCGCACAAGCGGAGGAACAUGUGGUUUAAUUCGAUGAUACGCGAGGAACCUUACCCGGGCUUGAAUUGCAGAGGAAGGAUUUGGAGACAAUGACGCCCUUCGGGGCCUCUGUGAAGGUGCUGCAUGGUUGUCGUCAGCUCGUGCCGUGAGGUGUCGGCUUAAGUGCCAUAACGAGCGCAACCCCUCUCCUUAGUUGCCAUCAGGUCAUGCUGGGCACUCUGGGGACACUGCCACCGUAAGGUGUGAGGAAGGUGGGGAUGACGUCAAAUCAGCACGGCCCUUACGUCCGGGGCUACACACGUGUUACAAUGGCA